CUUUUUUUUUUUGUGUGUGUGUAAGUAGGUCAACACGAUAUGGUAAAAACUUUCGAAUCGAUUAUCAUCAUCAUUAGACUAACACCGUGAUGGAAUUGAAGAAAUCCCGUACUAUCGACCGGUACGUAUGAUGAAAGAGCUCCUGCACAUAGGCGCGUACUGCCCGGCUGCGGGGGAAUUCUGAGGGGUCAAGUAGUUUCGCGAGAAACGGCUACUCCGACAGCAUCAGCGGGCCGGUCGCUUACGUGCCAAACGGGGAGGCGGAGGUGUCGGUGUCCUAGGAGUGGUUCUAAUUUCCUCGCUUGCGAAGAAGACGUUUUCUAGAGAGGUCAAAGUAGCCGUUACUAUGCGUCCACUACAGUUACACGGCCAGGGUUCGCUGAAGAGAGGACUAGACUCUCCUUACUGGAUACAUUUGUUUGGAAAACCAGACACAACAUCUCCUUAAUCCAACACUCUAGUAACGAAAGAAGAAAAAAGUUUAUAUCAAAUUUCGCGUAAAAUCACCAGUUUGUAUUAUUUGGAUUAAAAAGAUACUACACUCCAUUGACUAUGUAGUAAUCACGAUGACGAUGAACCUACGCUUCAUAUGGCCCCAUUGACGUAGACAUACCACAAAGUAGGUACUAUACAACGUCGUAUUAAAUUGACACUUACAUCACUUAUACACAUAGUACGUAUAAAAAAAAAGGGGUAUUAGAAUUUCUCAACUACAUGAUUAAACACUUUUACUUUACUUUGUUUUUAAUAAACCAGCUCAAACUUUUACGGUUAACCUUGAUCGUCGAACUCACAAUUAAUGAAACUUCCAAAAAAAAAAAAAAAAAAAAAAAAAAAAACCCUAGGAAAAUAAAAACUCGUUUACAAUGUAUAUAUAUAAGGUUUUCUUCACAUACUAUAUGCCAAGUAGGUAGAACACUCCCACAUUCUUCAUAAAUGAUAAAAAACCCGAUUUAACGUGAAAGUCCAGAGUUUUGAUCUUUUUCACACUAUGAAGCCAGGAGUUUGAGAUUCAACAUUAAAAAGCAAACUUAAAAUAUUUAACAACGUUAGAUUCAAAGAUUUCCGAUUAAAUCAAUUGAUUCAUGACUAUAUAACGACUACACCAUUAUUAUGCUAUAAAAUUAAUAACACGGCAGUAGUUAAUGUUACGUCGAUAUGGUGACGGUGUAGUCGUUAUAUACUAGUAGCGAUGUAGAGACUGCGUAAGCGAUGUGUACUGGUCAAUCAGUUGAUUUAAUUCAACACACUAACUCAACGUUAUUAAAUCUUUCAACCUAGGUUUUUAAUAGUAUUUAAUUUUAAACUUCUAGUUUAACAUGUGGGAACUAUAAAGCUCCUGGUGUCCACAUAACAUUGGUAAACAAAAGAAAAAAAGAAAAAAAAACCUGAACCGUCGAACCUGUAAUUCGAUUAGUGUUUAAGAUACGUACGAGUAUAAUAAUAGAAGUAAUGCAUGGUACAUAAGAGACCCUUUCAAGUAGAAGAUCGUUCCCUGUUUUAGGAGGGGAAAAAAAAAAAAACCAAAAAUCAUUGAAUGAUCACAAAAAAAAAAAAAAAACUCUCUAUCCAUCGUGCGAUUGACAAAGCAAAUAAAGUAAAUCUUUAUUUGAAUCGAUCUUUUACACUUAGUUGAUCCUAAGCUUGAACCCAGAGUCUAUAGUUAGUGGUUUAAAAAACGGUGAACGAGAUCCCUGCCAGCCAUCAUUGAAUGAUCACAACUACACCAGGAUCCCUUAUCUACGCAUCUAUUUCGUUAUUUGUAUCAACAUUAGAAUAGGUAAUCGUGAACACUGACACUCUGACACUCUGGCACUCUAUUGGAAUAAUGCAUGAUGAGUGGGUGGUACAAAACAGGUAAAGGGGUGAAGAUAAUGUGGGAGAGAUACCCCUGAUACAAAAACCGAACAAGUUGUUCGUACGUCUCCUGAAUAUGGAAAGGUCGUUUUUAUUAUUAUUGUUUAUCAUUGAUUAUUAUUUUAACCGAACCAAAAACCCUACAUUGUUACCGAGAGGAAAAGUGAGAAGUCNNNGGGGGGGGGGGGGGGGGGAAGGUUAUUUGAGUUCAUCAAGAAAUUGAUCACUUGGCCGUCAACAACAACAAAGGUUAUGGUACAACUAUUUUGGCUCAGCUAAUAGCAAGUCAACGAAAACCAUCAGCCAAGUGGGGCACCGCUAGACUAAAUUAUAUAGGAAAAUGAUUAAUCUAUUAAUGUUGAUACAUAUAUCCUACAGCUAAACAAACAGCAUCCUACAGUUUACUCCUCGAACCACGGUGGUGGAAUAGGACCUAGUCAUAAACAUCUUUUUCUCUUCAAUUGUCUUGUAAUUAGCAUGAACUAAGUGCAAAACAAGAUUGAAUAACUAGCUAAAGGAAUAGGUAUCAAUCCAGUCACGCAACAAGCCUGGACACAUUGAAAUCCGGAAAUAAUUUGGACAAAUGAUUUACCAAAAAAAAAAAAAAUCCCACAUUCAAAUAAGACAGUUAGUUCGAAUCAGUAACCUCUUGACAGUUAUAUCUUCUACUUCAUUUUCGACAAACUGUCUCUAACUUCAUAUUUAUUACCAAGUUGUCAAAUAAAAUUUUCUCAAUGAUUACUGGUAACAACUAUCUCAGAUCUUAAAAGUAAGCUUACCAAGAGAUCCACCCAUGUACUGCUACCAACAAGAAUUGAGAACCCAAGAAGCACCUGCAAAUUUAAAGGAAGAGAAGAGAAAUAAAAAACAAACUAAUUUUUGGCCUUCAGACAAUGAAAAGAUUGCACAGCAAUAAUGAUAAGAUUUAACAGUAAGGUGCAAUCAGCCGCUCAAUGGUGACAGAUAGUCACUUUGAAUAAUAGGCCACUGAAGAAUCAACAAGAAAACUCACCCAUGGUAGAUAAGCUGCAGUGAAGGUAAAAAGGCCCAAGAAACUCAUGUGGAUGAAAGGGUUAUGUUUGCUCCACACAUAGACCUGCAACGUAAAAAUAAAAUAAAAUAAAAUGAAAAAUCCAACAAGGCAUUUCCAACCUAAAAUCAGAAAUAGAACUCUAACAACAAUAUGACAGUAGAUGGCAUUGCCGGAGCAUGCGUCAAGGGUUAAAUAGGGCGAAUGGUAGAUGCUGUACUGGGUGACUAACCAUCAUGAAAGUCAAUGAGUUGCUAAGGAAAAAAAUUUUGGCAAAAGUCUCGGAAAUAUAUGGUAUCAUCCCUCCAAUAAGAACAAUCCCAGUGAGAACAGUGGCACCGAAUAAGAGCAUGUAGAAAAAAUCCGCAGUCCGUCCCCUGAAUGAGUUUUCCUCAAGUAGUUUGCAGUAUCGUGCAAGGAAAAACAUGUGGAACAGAAAGUCCAAAUCUGGUAAGGAAAAUUAGUAUCAAUAAGAGUAACUUGUCAGCAAUAUAGUUUGAUAUUAAAAAUUGAUAAAAAACGAAUUUUCAAAAGUAAGAAAUAAAAAAGAAUAACAGAAUAUGUUUUGUGAAAACUUAUAUUAUGCAUCAAAGAUGAGAAGAUAAAGCAUUCUAUGUGUAACUUUAUUCCGAAUCAAAAUUUGAAGUGACGAAAAAGUCAUCAAAUAAUUUAUAUCAAAUAAAUUGAAAUGUAGAAUACUAACAUCAAAAUUUUGAAAGAUUAAAUAGUCGAAUCAAAAUGGUAUAUAGUUUAGAUACGUAAAUUCUUCACUUUUAUACCCCAACUUAAAUCAAAGAAAUUAGAGGUUGUGUAGGUAUUGUUUAAAAAUUAAAACAAAUGNAUAAGGCAGCGGCGGAGGCGGCGCAUAGGCGGCGGAGGCGUACGGGGAGAGAGAGAGAGAGAGAGAGAGAGAGGAGGCGAAUAGUAGAGGUCUACAGGGUAAAAAAAAAAUAGCGCUCGAUGGGACCCACGAUCCGAAAAUUCGGUUUGGCGAAGCGGCGGUUGAGCGGCGUAAGGUACGACCCCUACAGGGAGGUCGGUGGAGAGAGAGAGGGGGAAGGGAUUGGAGGGGGGAGUGGAGGCGCCAGAGAGAGGGGACCCACUGGUCAGAGAGAAAGGGGAAAAAAAAUAUUGGGAGCGGGGGAGUAGCACAGUACAGGGGGGACCCAUGGGUCAGAUGGUGAAAGAGGGGGAAAAAUUUUUUGGGGGGCCCACAUCACUGAAUGAAGGAGAAGCGGAGAAAUGGUUAAGGGUUCGCCCUUUAAUGUUACUAGUGUAGGUCCCACGCGUUGCCGCGGGCCAUUUGUGUAGGUGAAGAAUGAAGAAAUCACAAAUGUGUGAGAAAGAAAUUGUAAGAAAAAAAUUAUAGUAAAGUUAAAACUAUGUUAAGCAGAUAAAGCUCACUGUCAAUAAUUGAAAAUCAAGAUAAAGCUAAAAACAUCUAUAUAUUUGGAGCUCACUAUCAAUAGCAUGAUUACGGCUGAAAACAAAUUAAUAAUGUUCGAAUACAUAAAGCAUAUAUAUGAAAGUUCGAAUACAUAAAGCAUAUUAAAUGGUAAGAAUGAACAUUUAUAUAAGUUCCGAUACAUAUCAAAUGGCAAGAAUGAAAAUAGUAAAGAAAGGCUCAGAUCAUAAUAUAUUUUUUUGUCAUGAGGCAUUUUUUCCUUUUAAUGCAAAUUAAUUGGCUGAAGUGUUGAUGGCUGCAGCGGUUGCCUCUGGCCGUCCAAGCUGCCUUGCUGUCAACACAUUUGUAUGGCCAUGGAUGCAUGCCUCAGUUAAUUGGCACGCAUGGCCUUUUAAUUGCAUAUUGUUUCAAUUACAGGUAAUAUGCAUACAUAUUAGAGGGCAUAUUGCUUAAGUGACCUCUAAUGUGCAGAUAAUUGCAGGUAAAUUACCUACAUGCAAUUAGAAUUAAUUCAACCAAUAGUUGAUCUGCAUUGAGAUUUUUCUGCAGUUCAAUUAGAGUGAAAAUUAGAGGUAAAACCUUACCUCUGUGCAAUUUACCUCUACAUGCAAUUUACUUGCAUUGAGAUUUUCACUUGCAUAACAUCCAGUAAAAGCUUGUGUAGCGGCAAAAGACAGAGAGUUACAUGAAGACAAAUGAGAAAACAAAAUUUUGUUAUUAUACAGUAUAUGUU
rnacentral:lncRNA from 1 species